rnacentral:lncRNA from 1 species
UUGAAAUUAAACAUAUGUAGUUAGCACUGUAAAAACUUCACUCCUUGAUUUUCUGUGUUUUGCAACUAAAAAGGAAAAAAGUGAUGCCAAAAUGUGUUCCAUUGAUAAAGUGGGAGAUGAUAAAUGGGUUUAGGUUUUAUGUAUUUUUUUCACUUCAAAUACCUGACCAUCUUUUUCUGUUAGUUUGUGAAGUCUUAGAAAACAUGGAUAUCUGUUUCUUUUAAGUCCCGUAGCGCUUAUAAUGGGUGCUCAGAAAUAGUAAAUAUUUUUGAUUGGCUGAUUCCAGUUUGGAUUCCAGUUUAAAAUGCCAAAGUAGAGUCAUUAACAUCUUUGUACUGAAGAACU